rnacentral:rRNA from 1 species
AGUAACACGUGAGCAACCUGCCUUUCAGAGGGGAAUAACGUUUGGAAACGAACGCUAAUACCGCAUAACAUUGGGAUAUGGCAUCAUGACCCAAUCAAAGAUUUAUCGCUGAAAGAUGGGCUCGCGCCCGAUUAGGUAGUUGGUGAGAUAAUAGCCCACCAAGCCGACGAUCGGUAGCCGGACUGAGAGGUUGAACGGCCACAUUGGGACUGAGACACGGCCCAGACUCCUACGGAAGGCAGCAG